GAAAGGUGAAACUACCCUCGGGGCAACCGCGCCGGUAAGACUGGGAUAACUUCGGGAAACCGAAGCUAAUACCGGAUAGGAUCUUCUCCUUCAUGGGAGAUGAUUGAAAGAUGGUUUCGGCUAUCACUUACAGAUGGGCCCGCGGUGCAUUAGCUAGUUGGUGAGGUAACGGCUCACCAAGGCAACGAUGCAUAGCCGACCUGAGAGGGUGAUCGGCCACACUGGGACUGAGACACGGCCCAGACUCCUACGGGAGGCAGCAGUAGGGAAUCUUCCGCAAUGGACGAAAGUCUGACGGAGCAACGCCGCGUGAGUGAUGAAGGCUUUCGGGUCGUAAAACUCUGUUGUUAGGGAAGAACAAGUACGAGAGUAACUGCUCGUACCUUGACGGUACCUAACCAGAAAGCCACGGCUAACUACGUGCCAGCAGCCGCGGUAAUACGUAGGUGGCAAGCGUUAUCCGGAAUUAUUGGGCGUAAAGCGCGCGCAGGC
rnacentral:rRNA from 1 species